AAAAAAAAGAAAAAGAAGAAGAAGAAGAAGAGGAGGGGAGAGAAACUGACAAGCGCGGGCGCAGGGAGGAGGAGAGUCCCGUGGCCUGGCCGCUCCGUGGGCCCCCCCGGGGGAGCGGGGUCGGGAGCGGGGUCGGCCCCUCCGCGCCCCGCCCGGGCCCAGCGCGGGGCGAGGCGCGCACACGCGGACGCAGCCCGGCCGCCGCCGCCGCCGCCGCCCCUCCUCCCGCCCCGGCCGGGUCUGCGCUCCCGGCGGGCGGGGUCCCGAGGCUCCCGGGCCGCCCGCCGGCCCCGCCGUCCGCAGACACGCGUGUGCGCGGGCCCUGCUUUCCACGCGCCAGCCCGCGGCGCCGCAGCGCGCACGUCCCCGAGGAGGGAGCCGAGCCCGGAGCGCAGGCCGCCGGGACCGGGGAGACGCUGCCAUUACCGUCGAGCGCGAUCCACGGCCGCUCUCCCCGCCCGGCCGACUCCCGGCGAGGCCGCGGGCCGCCGCAGCGCCGCUCCAGGAGGCGGAGACCGCUGGCGGGACACCCCACCCCUGGCGGGGACACGCGCGCGCGCGCACUCCCACACGGGGGCCGGGGCGGGCCGGGGGCGGGGUCGGGGGCGGGGCCGCGCGCGGCUGGGCCAAUCCCGGGCGCCGCCGCACUGCGCGACGGCGGGCGGCGCCAAUGAGCGGGAGGCGGCCGUGCCCCUCGCCCCGGCUCCCGGUCCACGUCUCCCACGGUACACAAUGGCCCCCGAGCGAGGCCGGCUCGCGGCACGUCCCCCACGGACAGGGCCUCGGGGGGUGGGACGCGGGGGCGGGGGGCGACCUGGGCGCCCUGGGCUCACCGGAGGCCGAAAGUGGAGAAGGGCAAGGAAAUGGGAGAAAGGAUGCCAGGCGCCGGGGAACUGGCCAAUGAGGAGUGGGCGGGUGGGCGUGAGCCUUGGGAACCCGAGCCGGGCCGCCGGGGGCCGGAGGGCGGGACUUCCUGCUCCGCGCACCUUCCCCGUCUUUUGUUUCAUAGCAACGGAGUAG
rnacentral:lncRNA from 1 species